UACAGAGGUCUCAAGCGUUGUUCGGAAUUAUUGGGCGUAAAGGGCGCGUAGGCGGUUUGUUAAGUCGGCUGUGAAAGCCCGGGGCUCAACCCCGGAGGGUCAGCCGAUACUGGCAGACUAGAGUACGGAAGAGGUAGCUGGAAUUCCCGGUGUAGCGGUGAAAUGCGUAGAUAUCAGGAGGAACACCGGUGGCGAAGGCGGGUCUCUGGGCCGAUACUGACGCUCAUGUGCGAAAGCGUGGGGAGCAAACAGG
rnacentral:rRNA from 1 species